ACAAAAGUAUUUUCAGAAAAGUUUAUAAGCCUGAAACGUCUAUCUUAUUCUUUCUCUCGAACUCGUGUGUAACACAUUGUGAUCGUUGUGUAACACAAGCGGUUGGUAAAAGAUUAACAUGAUUUACCAUUUUCAUAACGUUAAAUAUGAGAGGGUUAGAUCUGUUUGGAAGUAUUUGAGUGUAGAUGUGAAGUUUGUCAGUCGCAACACAGCUGCAAAAGAUGUUUACAGGUUCUAUCAAAGUUUGGGAGUAUAUAUUUAAUAACAGCGAGGUGCGACGCGAGAUUUGACUUGGUAGAAAGACGGCGGUGAAGAACGGAGAUGGAAGAACGAUGGUAGGAGGCGAGGAACUCUAUCCUUGCAUGAUGAACGUGUGUCACCACAUGUGUUCUACUAUUGUUAUUUUGGCGCUUUGAUGUAAAAUACGUAUCGAAUCCAGAGUGAUAGGAGGAGCAUAUAUUGAGCAUAGGCGUCACCUCUUCACCGACUUGAAAGUCUUUGUCGGAAAACUAGCUGAAGCUCCACUUGAACACACUGGAGCAAUAGUCUGCUAAAAAAGUCCAUCGAGAACGAUAGAGGAGAGUGAAAGAUCACCAGGCCAG
rnacentral:lncRNA from 1 species